ensembl:lncRNA
CGGGUAACCACGGCAACCGCGUCCGCGCCGCAGGUGACCGUCGGCUGCUUUUCCUGCUGGCGCUCCUCCGCACCGCUUCCCCCCGCGGCCUGCUGGGAGAAAUCCGCAGAUGAUAAAAGAGCCUCGUGGGCGCCGGGGGGGGGGGGGUCUGAAUGCGUACCUGGACUAAUAGUAUUGUGGUGUGUACCACUAGGGAGAAGAAGUACUCCACAGGCCUGAUUGUGUCCUGAUACUGUGCUGAUGAACCACCUGAGACGAGGAACUACAACAUCAGCUUCUAGAUCUGCGAUGCUGAACAUGAGGAUGGACGGCGCUGCGGAUGCUGGAUUCGAGGCAGAUGAAGCUGAUGUGAAAUGUAAGAUGUCAUCCAUCCAUCUAUGAAUCCCGCAGGCUCCUUCUCCACUGGGCUCCUUCACAUGGAUAAAGUGCCCCAUCUGACCACAAAGACCACAAUGAAACACGUGUUGCCAUGCAACAGGGGAACUGAAAGGAAGCUCAGGACACGAGAGUCCAGUUUGAAGUUGAAGGCUCCUCAAACGCACAAAUACUCCUUUCAAAUAUGAAAUAAUCCAGUCAUGCAAGUCGGUGCUGGAGGUCGUGAGGCGUUUUACAACACUUCCUGAAAAGAAGAAACAUUAAUUAAUGUUAGAAACUGACCUAAAUCCAUCAUUGAUUUUCUGGGGAUGAGAUUCAUCCCAUCAGGAGCUCAUCACGUCUCCUCACUGAUUCAAUAACGUCUCCUCGUCGGUUCAGUCAAACGUUUCAUUUGUUUUCUGUUCAGGGCUGGAAAAAACAUUCGCUCUUUCACUCCGUUCUAGAGGAUGCAGGUGUCAAUCAGCGUGUAGUCCCGCCCUAAAGCGUCCCCCGCUCUAUGGUCUGUUUGACUCUAAAUGGACCUUAAUUCACUGAAUGAACAUCAUGUUGUGUUGAAGAAGACUUGAAACUAGAGACUGAGACCAUAAACUCAUGUUUACAAUGUUUACUGAGGGAAUAAAUCCAGAGAGAAGUAGAGUCAUUUCCUCAUAGACGUCUAUGGGAGCAGAGGAGUCGCCCCCUGCUGGUCACUACAGAGAAGUAGAGUCAUUUCCUCAUAGACGUCUAUGGGAGCAGAGGAGUCGCCCCCUGCUGGUCAC